UUGUGUUCCUCUGUUUCCAGCUUGGUGGGAGAGGUGUUUUGGGAUGGCUACAAAAAUUUUGCACUAGUUGAUUGCCGACCAGGAUUUUUUCAUGAAGUGGUUUCAAAAACUCUAGAGGAGGAGAUGAAUGCUGACCAGAAGUGUUUUGAAAUGACUUCAAAAUUUCUCCAAGCGGGGUUGAGUGGUGACCCUCUUUUCCAUUUCUUUCGGUCUCGUGGUCCUAACAACAUCACUCGUUGGAGGAGGCGCUGAGGGAAGCUUAUUGGUUUCCGUGCGGAGUUUUGACCUGAACGGGAAUAUAUUUUACUUCCUUUUAUUUGAAUAUUGUCCCAGAUAAGCGUGGGCUGCUGGACUGCGGCGGCGGCGCUGUGGACGGCGAUGAAAGGUUCAGAGGCGCCCACCCUCUCACCAACGUGAAGUGUACCGUGACGCCAAAACUUAUUGGCAGCCUAAAGAAGCAAUAUAGUUUCCGUGGAACGGGACAUCCACGGCGGCACCUACUCGUACCACCACCACCAUCACCACCACCACCACGAAGCACUGCUGGACAUCAAUGGCAAAAAGUGAAACACUCGCCAAUUUUUUUCUUUCGUUGACUGUUCAGCCUCACAGAAGGGAGGAGUGAGCACAUCAAAGGUCCAUCUAAAUGGAGCAAACUUAAAAAGCCUUUUAGGUAUUUUCUUUCAUCCAAAGCGUUGGUGUCUCAUCUCUGUCUCCUUAUCGCGGAGCCCAUUGUCUGGGGUAAUGGAGGUCUCCGGUGUUCACUUGUCGCAAUAAUGGACCCAAGAAACGUCCUCUGGGCUUCUUAUGCCUGCCGGGUAACGGAGCCUCCUCGCUGCCCUUGACGAGAGGCCGUGCUGCCACCUCAGCUUCCACCAUCGGCCUCAGGAACUCCUUGGCAGAAUCACAGAGGAUCAAGACGCGCGCUAAGAUGACAGCGGGUGUGACGCUGUUUGUUUCGUGCGUGGUGGUGAAGAGGCCUGACAGUCGAGGAUGAACUGUGACGUCAUCCACGUCUGAGACUUCUAAAAAGAUUACAACUGGUCCUAACGAUAUCAGUAAAUGUAUAACAGAUUCAUAAAAGCACGAAUACGGUGAAAGAACAUGAAGUGGCAUGGACGAGGGCGGUGAAAGGGCGAUAGCUCCUUAACGUGACCGUCGAAUACAGCUGCUUCAAGCCCCUAAUACCAGCCAGGUGAACCAGACUCACACAGGCAACACAAAACCCAGAAUAUCGUUCUUUGUAUUCCCAUCGCUGUGCUCCAACAAGACUCUGCAAUACGGAUCGUGGUGCAACACACGCCUGAUGAUAAUGCCCAGCCAGCGAUGAGGCGAGUGAGUGCGCGACGCUACCUGUCAGUGGCACCGGCGAGGUCAGUGCCGGCAACUAGGUCAAAUACGGACAAACAAGUUAGUGCCGCAAUAAAAGUUAGUGCCUGUAAGGGUUCCUAAUUCGAUAAAAGUGUUUUGUAAGCUGAUAAGUGUUAUAGGAGUUAAGCACGCACUCGUAUCGCAGGCUUAUAGUGCGCCAUGCGUGGCCCCGUGCCAGGUAAGCAUUAGGGAAGGCAGGUAAGUCAGGUUAGGGAGCGUUAUGAGCCAAAGCGCAGGAAUCUAGUCAUAGUAUAUUACUGGUGUUGUAGUGUUAACUUUCGCGUUUGAGGUAGUCAUAAGUUUAUCAUCAUUAUCAGCCUAUACAUGGGUGUACUGCAGAACAAAAGAUACAUACUGGUUUUGGGUGUGUUAGCGGGGUUGCCGGUGGGAUCAAAUCUCGCCGGCUUAUGUCCCGCAUCUAUUUUCCGCAAGGUGAACUGAACAGAGGCUACAGCGUGAAAAGAGACAUGACUAAAUUCUCUCCAACAUGCCGAGGAUUCGAACCCAGGAGCUCUCGGUUGCUAGGCUAAAGCUCUAACCGAGCUGUCUAUCUGUGUGUUGAAUAAUGGAAGGUAAAAGCAUCGUGGAAUUUUCGGAGCGCAUAGACGAUUCACGAGAGAAUGAUUUCAUUAGGAAAAUCUGGAAGAACAGAGCAAAUCCACUGUGUCCAAAUCCACUGUGUUCGGAUAAUGAUGUCACGCUGAACCUGGAAUGGUUUCUGGAACGUAGAAUCAAUAAACACCACAACUAUGCAAUGCCUCUCACAAAUCUGGUGAUAUGAAAUCGCCUCCACUCUCUCAAUCAUACCUUGGUGGCGCGAAGUGUCCAGCAUAGACUGCGGACACUCGGAGCACCGUGAUAAUGGAGUAAAUAAUUGCUUCAGCACAAAAUCAACUUUAGUGCAUGACUCUGGUUCAAAUGGACGCCACGGAAACAAGGACAAAAGGUAAUUCUUCAAGCUGAAGGUACAGAAAGUGACAAAAUGAACGUGGGUACUUGACAAACGGGUGGUUUUGUAUGUACUCCCACACAAGCCUUUCCAAACAUGUGCCCUGAUAUGUCAUGUUAUCCCACUGUUGAUCAUGUAAACGGCACUGCAUAUUGUGCUUUUGUGAUACAUGAUUCUGUGUAUGGUAAAGAAUCUGAGUGAUUUAAAAGCCUGAACAACGUCAUGGAAACACUGAGUCACGGGAGUUGGGAAAACAAAAAUAUCUGUAUGAGCAAAAAAUGUUUCUGAUAUGCUGUUUUCUGACGCGUAAAGUUGUCUGACAACUUUUCUCACGGCACACAGCACAAAUGUUCUUGGUUUUCGAAGAAAAUAAAAAGUUGUGAAUUAAGAGUACAAAAUUCUUGCUUUGCAAGCUGAUGAUUUUGAUAUCAAAAUAGGCAGAAAAGAGUGGGUAGUGUCGCCAUGUUACCCUCACUCUCACACAAUGUCCAUAGCAGCGGCACACUCGGCUAUGCUUGUUCAUGUUGAAACCGAACAGCGAUAUUCUGCUUGUAUCACGCAACAUACUACAUUGAUGUCUGACACGCGCUGCUGUUCGAUCAAAUAUGCUCAAGGAAAAAGCGUUAACAUUACAUGAGUUUUUCCUCUUAGUUCACGAAUAUUCUUAGUUGACGAAUUUUUAUAUUCACAUAUUUUUAUGUGCUUGUAUGAAUGUCAUUGCCUCCACAGGGUUCAGAGGUCGCCAGGUGCGACUGUCAUGCCUCCAGGUAAGUCUGGUGAGUAUCGGUUUGUUGAAAGCGCGGUGAGAAAAUCCAGACAAAAAAAAAUAACUGCCGGUUUUCACUGAGAAGAAUUUCCGCGCUUCUCUUUACUGUUUUUUUUUUUUUUUUAUGAUUCUUUGAUUUCUUCUAAGUGAAAAAAAAAAAAAAAAAAAAAAUUCAAGA